rfam:Rhodnius prolixus Rhodnius_prolixus-3.0.3-73.11, whole genome shotgun sequence.
AAACAGGAUUCACUAGAAUCCAUUUUAAAUUUCUAUAAGGUAACA